rnacentral:lncRNA from 1 species
UCAAUAAUUGGAAGGCUGAAGACACUAUCCCGAUUUCCUUUAGUCAGGAGUAAUUGCUAUUGUCUGUUUUAGUGUUGCAAUUUUUAAUUUUUAUAGUUGAACUUCUUAAAGCAUUGUGUCUAUGCCCGGGGCACAAUAGCUAAUUUGUUAAGGGUUUUGUCAUUUUCAUAAGCAUAUUCAUAUUCAAUAAAUCAAUGGACUUUUUGCAUUCAAAUAUUGCACUCUUUAUCUUUCGUGUCAUCUUCCGAAAAAGCUAU